AAGCUACACCACAACAGCCCAGUAUAACCCAUCAAAGCCAGGCUGAUGCUCAGGGCUUCAACAGAAUUGGGCAGAACAGCCACGAACCCCCUCCUAAAACUACGAUCUGGACCUCAGCAGACACCAUCAGGGCCUGACCAAAGGUCUGGCUAGGCUGAUGGUUACGAAAGAGAGGGAGAAAGAGAAGAGACUUAGGGGACCCCUCCCCCGCAAGCAAUCCUCCACGGGGAAGGCUGGCCGUGGGAAGCUGUCCCUACCCAGUGCAGACUCGAGUCUGGCUUGAGAGCCCUGGCCCACCUCUGGACAGGGUCCUGAUCCAAGGCUGGCGCUUCAUCUCAGGGCAGGGGCAAGGUGGGGGGACCCUGCCUGUCUGCCUGGAAGACACCCACAUGGCUUCCUUCGAUUCGUCCUGCAGAUCUCCCUGGCAUCACUUUCUGAGACACCGUACUCAACCCCCUCCAACAGGGAAAGCCCCCGCGCUAUGUCCUGACUCCCCCAGCUGCGCCUGGCUCCCCCACCUGUGCCUGGCUCCUCCAGAGACACCUGUUCCAGCCCAGUGUGCGGUGUGCUCAUUGUGCCAUCUCCUUGGGUGGAGUGAUGGCUCCAUGAGGGCAGGCAGGUUGUCUACUCUGUUCACUGUUUAAAGCAGGGCCCUGCCCGAAGGAGGUGCGCAAUACCUUCCGGGCAAAUAAAUGAAUGAAUGGAUGAACUAAA
ensembl:lncRNA novel transcript